AAACUAUGGUGGAGACAUUUUCUUCAACAAAUCUUUAAAUUCUUUCCAAGCCUCAUACAAGCUUUCUUGAUCAUGCAUGAGCAAAAGUUCAUGAUUCUCAUUUCUUAAUUU